GAUGAACGCUGACAGAAUGCUUAACACAUGCAAGUCUACUUGAUCCUUCGGGUGAUGGUGGCGGACGGGUGAGUAACGCGUAAAGAACUUGCCCUGCAGUCUGGGACAACAUUUGGAAACGAAUGCUAAUACCGGAUAUUAUGUGAGUUUCGCAUGAAAUUCAUAUGAAAGCUAUAUGCGCUGCAGGAGAGCUUUGCGUCCUAUUAGCUAGUUGGUGAGGUAACGGCUCACCAAGGCGAUGAUAGGUAGCCGGCCUGAGAGGGUGAACGGCCACAAGGGGACUGAGACACGGCCCUUACUCCUGCGGGAGGCAGCAGUGGGGAAUAUUGGACAAUGGACCAAAAGUCUGAUCCAGCAAUUCUGUGUGCACGAUGAAGUUUUUCGGAAUGUAAAGUGCUUUCAGUUGGGACGAAGUAAGUGACGGUACCAACAGAAGAAGCGACGGCUAAAUACGUGCCAGCAGCCGCGGUAAUACGUAUGUCGCAAGCGUUAUCCGGAUUUAUUGGGCGUAAAGCGCGUCUAGGCGGUUUGGUAAGUCUGAUGUGAAAAUGCGGGGCUCAACUCCGUAUUGCGUUGGAAACUGCCAAACUAGAGUACUGGAGAGGUGGGCGGAACUACAAGUGUAGAGGUGAAAUUCGUAGAUAUUUGUAGGAAUGCCGAUGGGGAAGCCAGCCCACUGGACAGAUACUGACGCUAAAGCGCGAAAGCGUGGGUAGCAAACAGG
rnacentral:rRNA from 1 species